rnacentral:rRNA from 1 species
UACGAAGGGGGCUAGCGUUGCUCGGAAUCACUGGGCGUAAAGGGUGCGUAGGCGGGUCUUUUAAGUCAGGGGUGAAAUCCUGGAGCUCAACUCCAGAACUGCCUUUGAUACUGAGGAUCUUGAGUUCGGGAGAGGUGAGUGGAACUGCGAGUGUAGAGGUGAAAUUCGUAGAUAUUCGCAAGAACACCAGUGGCGAAGGCGGCUCACUGGCCCGAGUACUGAACGCUGAGGUGCGAAAGCGUGGGGAGCAAACA